GACGAACGCUGGCGGCGUGCUUAACACAUGCAAGUCGAACGAAGUGGCGAACGGGUGAGUAACGCGUAAUCAACCUGCCCUUCAGAGGGGGACAACAGUUGGAAACGACUGCUAAUACCGCCUACUGACGGGGGGGAUUGCGUCUGAUUAGCUCGUUGGAGGGGUAACGGCCCACCAAGGCGAUGGUAAGUAGCCGGUCUGAGAGGAUGAACGGCCACAGUGGGACGGGGACACGGCCCAGACUACUACGGGAGGCAGCAGUGGGGAAUCGUCCGCAAUGGACGAAAGUCGGACGGAGCAAAGCCGCGUGAGUGAUGACGGCCUUCGGGUUGUAAAGCUCUGUUAAUCGGGACGCGGUACCGGAAUAGAAAGCCACGGCUAACUCCGUGCCAGCAGCCGCGGUAAUUC
rnacentral:rRNA from 1 species